UACGUAGGUGACAAGCGUUGUCCGGAUUUACUGGGCGUAAAGAGCGCGCAGGCGGUCGUUCAAGUCGAGUGUGAAAGCCCCCGGCUCAACUGGGGAGGGUCACUGAUGACUGAUCGACUCGAAGGCAGGAGAGGGUAGUGGAAUUCCCGGUGUAGUGGUGAAAUGCGUAGAUAUCGGGAGGAACACCAGUGGCGAAGGCGGCGACCUGGGCCAAUAUUGACGCUGAGGUGCGAAAGCGUGGGGAGCAAACAGGG
rnacentral:rRNA from 1 species